rnacentral:rRNA from 1 species
AACGAACGCUGGCGGCAGGCCUAACACAUGCAAGUCGAGCGCGCCUUCGGGUGAGCGGCGGACGGGUGAGUAACACGUGGGAAUAUGCCUUUCGGUGCGGAAUAGUCUUGGGAAACUGAGGGUAAUACCGCAUAUGCCCCUUGGGGGAAAGAUUUAUCGCCGAAAGAUUAGCCCGCGUUGGAUUAGGUAGUUGGUGGGGUAAUGGCCUACCAAGCCGACGAUCCAUAGCUGGUUUGAGAGGAUGAUCAGCCACACUGGGACUGAGACACGGCCCAGACUCCUACGGGAGGCAGCAGUGGGGAAUCUUAGACAAUGGGGGCAACCCUGAUCUAGCCAUGCCGCGUGAGUGAUGAAGGCCUUAGGGUUGUAAAGCUCUUUCAGCUGGGAAGAUAAUGACGUACCAGCAG